rnacentral:tRNA from 2 species
AAGGCUUUAGCUUAAUUAAAGUGUCUGGGUUGCAUCCAGGAGAUGUGGGAUAAAUCCCCGCAAGUCUUA